UACGGGGGGGGCAAGCGUUGUUCGGAAUUACUGGGCGUAAAGGGCUCGUAGGCGGCCAACUAAGUCAGACGUGAAAUCCCUCGGCUUAACCGGGGAACUGCAUCUGAUACUGGAUGGCUUGAGUUCGGGAGAGGGAUGCGGAAUUCCAGGUGUAGCGGUGAAAUGCGUAGAGAUGCGGAGGAACACCGAUGGCGAAGGCAGCCCCCUGGGUUGACACUGACGCUCAGGCACGAAAGCGUGGGGAGCAAACAGG
rnacentral:rRNA from 1 species